rnacentral:rRNA from 1 species
GAUGAACGCUAGCUACAGGCUUAACACAUGCAAGUCGAGGGGCAGCGGUAUCGAAAGCUUGCUUUCGGUAGCCGGCGACCGGCGCACGGGUGAGUAACGCGUAUCGAACCUGCCUCAUACUCGGGAAUAGCCUUGCGAAAGUAAGAUUAAUGCCCGGUGUUUUCAGAGUCCCGCAUGAGGCUUUGAACAAAGAUUUAUCGGUAUGAGAUGGCGAUGCGUCCCAUUAGCUUGUUGGCGGGGUAACGGCCCACCAAGGCAUCGAUGGGUAGGGGUUCUGAGAGGAAGGUCCACCACAUUGGAACUGAGACACGGUCCAAACUCCUACGGGAGGCAGCAGUGAGGAAUAUUGGUCAAUGGGCGGAAGCCUGAACCAGCCAAGUAGCGUGCAGGAAGACGGCCCUCCGGGUUGUAAACUGCUUUUAGUUGGGAAUAAAACGGGGCUCGUGAGCCCCCUUGCAUGUACCAUCAGAAAAAGGACCGGCUAAUUCCGUG